GGGACUGCGUGGCUUUAGGAUGAGGCUGCGCUCGGCCCUGGGCGUGUUCUCAUCUCCUGGAGCACGGUGCCCACCUUCCCCACCUUCCCGCCUACCAAGGCGCGGUUGCUGUGAGCUACGGGGAAGUGACUUUUCUCCUUGUUCCCAGAACACACCUUCUCCCAGGCUGGGCGGGCCCCCGGGCCCGUUUCUGGGGCUUUGGCUGACUUGACUCUUGGGAAAUGUUCUUCCCUGGAGCAGUGGCGACGGCCCUGGGCCUGUCUCCCUCCAGGUGCUGACUCUGGCUGCCCAGGAGCUGUCUAGGCCUGGGUGCCUCGGGAGGACUCCCCAACCUGGCUCCCCAAGUCCCAACACCCCGUGCCUGCCAGAGGCAGCCGUCUCUCAGCCUGGCAGUGCCGUGGCGUCUGACUGGCGGGUGGUGGUGGAGGAGCGGAUCAGAAGCAAGACCCAGCGGCUCUCCAAGGGUGGCCCGAGGCAGGGCCCGGCAGGCAGCCCCAGCAGAUUCAACUCCGUGGCCGGCCACUUCUUCUUCCCCCUCCUUCAGCGCUUUGACAGGCCUCUGGUGACCUUCGACC
rnacentral:lncRNA from 1 species